CCCUAGCCCUGAUAGAAGCGACAUCCUUUUUAUUCGCUUUUUUUGCGAAUAAAAAGAUAUAGCGGAUAGCAGGAAACAGC
rnacentral:sRNA from 1 species